rnacentral:misc_RNA from 1 species
GUAACUCUGGACGAAAGUAUGUUUUGAGCUCCUCCAUCACUAUUGCUUUCAUACCAGCAUAGGAGGCGGCUGACUCAUCUUCAGCAAGCAAGAAGCCGAUAGUAUUCUGUCUACCCUUUACAAUGGCUGUUGAACCCACAUUUGAAGUCAUAACUAUCAAGGCGUUCUUAAAUGACACUCUUCUUCCCUGAGAGUCUGUUAGGUGACCAUCUUCAAACAACUGAAGGAGAAUAUUGAAUAUGUCGGGAUGAGCCUUUUCAAUCUCAUCUAGCAGCACUACAGUGAAGGGCUUUCUUCGGAUAGCUUCAGUUAGAGUCCCUCCUUCUCCAUAGCCUACAUAACCAGGAGGCGAUCCAAUUAACUUGCUCACAGUAUGCCGCUCCAUGUAUUCACUCAUAUCCAAUCUUAGCAUGGCAGAUUCAGAUCCAAAAUAAGAUGCUGCCAAAGCUUUAGCCAGUUCAGAUUUUCCAACUCCAGUAGGACCACAGAAGAGCAUUGCCGAAAUUGGUCUAUUUGGGUGCUUGAGGCCAGUUCUGGAUCUCUUAACAGCCCGACAAAUAGAUGUAACAGCCUCAUCCUGACCAACAACCCUUUUCUUAAGCUGCUCAUCAAGACCAACCAAAAGCAUUCUUUCAUCAACUGUAAGCUGCUUAAGGGGAAUGCCUGUCCAGAGUGAAGCAACUGCUGCUAUAUCCUCAGGUCCAACUAAUGGGAGUUCAUGUUGAUCAGAUGUAGAAGACGAAGCUGGCUGCAAAUGAAGUUCACUGUCAUCAUCCAAACGAGACGCAUCAGCAUUUUCAGUCAGCUUGCUAGCCAGGAUCACUUCAUGCAUGGUUUGAACAGCUCUAAUUUCCUGCCAAUAAUCACUAGGUGAUUGUGAAAGUACAGAUAUCUGCUGUUCCUUUCUUCUUUUGUGAGCUUGCAUACGAGAUUUACUACCAG